rnacentral:tRNA from 1 species
GGAAGGGUGCGCGGAACUGGUAACGCGCCGGCCUGCUAAGUCGGGGCCCGCAAGGGCGUGAGGGUUCGACUCCCUCUCCUUCCGC